AUUAUUUUAUUCUUUUGUUAAAUAAAUAGUUAGUUAUUAUUUUUAAAUAAGUAGUUGAAGUCAAUCACUGAUCUCGGACCUCAGCGUCGGGAUUAGUGAUUGACAGUAAUUGUCAGGAUGCCGAAACGACCAUCCAACAUUCUCUCGCAUUGAUACGACCAUCCAACAUUUUAUUCGUGGUACUCCAGCAUGAAGAAAAUACCACGAGAUAAACUGUUUCCUACUGUUUCCUGGUGUCGGGUUGACAAUCGUGACACCAAAGAUGGCCGUAGAGGUUUGUCAGGUCUUGACGCCAGGAGCGGUUUGUUUCGUGGUGCUCCAAUACAGAGCAUCACAGAGGUCAUGACACCAGGAGCAGUCUACAUUAUUAUCAUCAUCAUCCUCCCUGUGGACCUUACAAUACUAAAACCAGAAUUAUUUUCAUUUAAUAAACUAAUAAAUUGAAAAAGUGAUGAAAACACCCAAAUUCUACUAAGAUGAUUCAUUCUUAAACAACUUUUUGUAAAAAUAUAAUUUAAAAAAAUUUUUUGGAACUAAAAAAUUUAGGAGCUAUCAUUGGAGAUGCAUAUUUUCAGCCAAUAGAC
rnacentral:lncRNA from 1 species